rnacentral:rRNA from 1 species
GUAUAUGAGGUGAUUAAUUGGAGGGCAAAUCGAGUGCCAGCAGCCGCGGUAAUACUUGUUCCAAGAGUGUGUAUGAUGAUUGAUGCAGUUAAAAAGUCCGUAGUUUAUUAUUAAGAAGCAAUAUGAGGUGUACUGUAUAGUUGGGAAAGAGAUGAAUUGUGACGACCCUGACUGGACGAACUGAAGCGAAAGCUGUACACUUGUAUGUAUUUUUGAACAAGGACGUAAGCUGGAGGAUCGAAGAUGAUUAGAUACCAUUGCAGUUCCAGCAGUAAACUAUGCCGACGAUGUGAUAUGAGAUGUUGUAUUACAUUAUAGAAAUUAGAGUUUUUGGCUCUGGGGAUAGUAUGAUCGCAAGAUUGGAAAUUAAAGAAAUUGACGGAAGAAUACCACAAGGAGUGGAUUGUGCGGCUUAAUUUGACUCAACGCGAGGUAACUUACCAAUAUUUUAUUGUUCGGCGAGGAUAUGAUCUGAGG